UGUAAGAGCUAGAGGAUGGGACGGAC
rnacentral:piRNA from 1 species